rnacentral:rRNA from 1 species
AUGGUAAAGAAAGGCUGGUCGGAGGCUGCCCAGUUUGCACAUUGUGACACUUGCCCUGCUGUUGAGUCAAUCGAUCACUUACUACUACGCUGUGCGCCCGCCAGCGUUCUUUGGGGCAAAAUGGAGCUGGACGUUCUGGCUUGCUCGGCUACUAAUGUUCUUUCUUUUGUGGAGCAAGCACAACACCAGAUUGGCUUUAGGCACAAAUGGAAUGUGGCUUUCGCGGCUUGUGCUAUUACCUUGUGGCGUGCUAGGAAUGACAGAGUCUUCAACUCCAAAAUCUGGUCUGUACAAUACACAUGUCUAUAUGCAGCAGACAUGCUCCGUCUUUGGAGUUUCAGAACUCAAAACCAGCGCACCAGGGAGGUUCUCCAGGUUUGGAGACAAAAGCUGCUGCAUAGCGUGUAG